ensembl:lncRNA
AGGUGUGAUGACCCUCUAUGCUCAGGGGAAAUAUACAUUUUCCACAGGCCAGAGACCGGGAGGCAGGAGAUGGAGGGCGGUAAUACAGCGUAUUAAUGCUUGUCCCUUGACCCCCUUGUUCAAUCAAACUCCCCGCAAAUAUGAUAUUUUUGGGAAAAAGAUCAACUGUGAGUGCGGAUAUCAUGAGCCACCAGAGAAGGCUGGCGCAGCAUCAGCCAGUUCAGGUCAGCUGAGUGCCCCGGGGGCAAGUGCUGCAGCGGGAAGAGCUCCUGAGGAACCAGCCAGUGCAGCGGCAGAGGGGAGGGCUCCUGGUGAACUGGCCAGCACAAGUGCAGCAGCUGUAGGUCAGGAAAACCCCGCUUUUGUCACGUGCUCGCUGUGUACUAAAGAGGUGAUGGGUGAGGACUACACGCAGCACCUGUCAGACUACCACGUCCAGGAGCGAUGUGAGCAGUGUGGCACAACGGCCUGGGGACUCGUUGGAUUGUCGGAGCACAUUGAGAGUGCUCACCAUUUGAGCUGUCCAACAGAACCAAUAGAUGUUCCGGCUCCAACAGAACUAUACACAACACCGGCGCCACAGCAACACAGCAACCCACCAGUUGUUCCCGUCCCUGCUCCUGUCCCUCCCAUAGCCCAAGAGACGUCACCGGCGGCACCACAACAACAAACACUAUCUCUGCGGCCUCCUCAAGUGAACUGGCUGAGUUUUCUGCCGAAGCAGUUCUUAAAAGUCAUAAAUCAGGCUGACCGGGAGUGGAUCGCACAGAUCCUAUAUGACCGAACAGGACAGCUAAAACAAAAGCACACUCAGAACUGGUACCAUCCUCCAAGCCCCACUAGAUCCACCUCACCUCCAGAUCCACUGCACUACUUUAGGCAGCGGAUGUUCCUGUGGGCUCCAAUGAGGAUGUGGAGCAUCCCUCUUAAAUGCACGUCGUGUAAAAGGAAGAUGCACCACUCUGGCAUUUACACCAAAGUGAGAGAGGUGAUAGAUGUGGACUCCAGGUAUUAUCUGAUAGGUGGAGACUACCCAAGGUGCAGCAAAUGCAUGAUCCCUGUCUGCCCUUGGAGUAGUGAGAUCUUGCAGCAGCUGGAUCCCUCCCACCGUAACAAGUUUCCUGCUGUCCUAACGACACAGCAGGCACUGGACAGGAAGUGUGUCACAAUGUUGCGACCACGCACGGUAGGGAACAGCUCCAGCUACUCGCAACAGGUCUUGCAGGAGGUGCACAGCGAGGAGUGGGCGAGGCGUACUAUCGACUACCUCACUGAUUGUGAGGUCCAUAAAAAGUUGCGCGUCCUCACCCAGUCCGAACCUGUAUAUCAACAGCCACCCACCUUCAGUCGUCUGCCCCUGGCUCAGUGGUUUGAAACCGUCCACACGAAUGAGGUUCUUGGCCACCUGGAGGAGUUGAAAGGUGUUAUAACAUCAACUUAUGGCAGAAUCCUAAAGCUGGACUCCACCAAGAAGGCAAAAGUUAACUGAUGUAAAUUUGUUCUCAUUCGUGUUUAUUAGUAUGUCCAAUGAUUUGCUAAUUUCUUCUGUAGAUCACUAAAAAGCUGGCAGGUGGCAUUGAGAACACGGCCACGUGGAUGAGCAACAUCGGCAAUGAACUUGGCCAAGUUCUCAACUCAGUGCUGACCACUGGUGAGGGGGCUGGCCUUGAUGACCUGUGCCAAGGCGUUGUCCGGAGGUACAGGGAUGCUGGUGAGCCAGAGCCAGAUGCCAUAUAUGUGGACAGGGACUGCUGCAGUGAGUCAGGUGUGUUGCCUUCAAUUUGUGCUGGGAUGUUUCUUAUGAAUUUGUUGUUUGAUGAAUAGUUUUAGCAGUAUAUUAAUGAAAUUGGUAAUGUGUUGACUGGAAACAAUCUGAAUUACAUGUAUUUAUGGCGUGUUGUUUAUUAUAGGGGAGAGCCCAGUUCUCACUUGGUUUCGUCCAUGGACCUUCACAGUGAGACUGGAUAUGUUUCAUUUCAUGAGGCGUUUUACCAAUGGCCUGACCACUGAGCACCAUCCACUAUAUGGCACAUUCUGCUCAAAACUUUCCAGCUGCAUUUUCAAAUGGGACAAAGCAGACAUUGAAAAGUUGCAGCAGGCCAAGAGGGCAGAGCUGGUGAAAAAACACCCGGGUCACAAUCCUACCCACAGCCAGGUGUUAGCGAGCAUCACCACCAGCGAACUCGCUAAGCACUGCCGCAGGAAAACGCGAGGGGUUGAGGAGACUCACGCCCUCAUCCAACAACUGUUGGACUCCAUGUGGGACCUCACAGACACCACAGGGUUAUCGCUCAUCAACCAGGAGAGCAUGUCUCGUGUGUGGGAGGUGCAGCAGAAGCACUUGCCCUGCAUCCAAGAUCCAACUGGUGUACAGUUGUACAUCAACACCGGAUCAAAGAUGGAGAAGGGGGAUAAAGCACUUGACGUCCUGAGAUGUGCCAGAGGGUCAUCCUCUCUCGAGAGCUUUCAUAAGCAUCAAUGCUGUUUCAUCCCAG